GCCAUACAGAGCAGUGCUGCCCUGCUCGAAUUUGCCACCUCCCUGCCUGGAUUUGAGGGCUGAACAUCAGAGAGGCAAGAGAGCUGUGGUGUCGGGACGGGCUCCAGGACACCGAGCGCCUGGGCUAUAGGAACAUGGCCAGGAUGUGGGGAGAUCUCAGCCGCUCAGCAGAAUGUGGGAGAGCCAAGUGCUGAUGGGCUAGAGGUGUCCCAUGAGUCGCUGUACAGCAGGUGCAGUGUCGGCAGUCACCAUGGACCAAACCCUGCGCUCCAGACAACCCAGGCUGUUUCCCUGGAUUGCAAAGGGGACUUUAGCUUGGGGAAUCGGUUGCUGAUGCCUGUGUCCACAUCUGGGCUGUUUUAAUGAGGCUACAUGAUGGUACAUGAAGAGCGAUUCAAGCAAGGGAGAAUGACCAUUAGAGAGCAAGGCUGGGCCCUUUGCCGAGCUGCUGCAGUCAAGCAUCCACAGCCAGAAGAGAGACGAUGGGAAACUUGCUUAGCUGGCUGGCGACAGCAGCAGCUGUCUCAUAAAGCUCUGCUCAUGCUCUAGACAACAGAGACAGGACAAAGAGCCACACAGUGAGAGCCUUGGUUGCAAUUAGCAAUACGAAUUUUUUUCAGUGGAUUAUGCUGGCCGAACAGUUUAUUUCCUGUAAUGUGCACAUCCAGCCUCCCUGGCUGACAUAAAUGGAAGUUAGGUUCUCCGUGCCCACAGGACAGGGCUGGCCUUAGCAUGAGGCAAACUGAGGCACCUGGCUCAGGUGAUAGAUUCUGUGUGUGUGUCUGUGUGUGUGUGUAUACACGUGCACGAGGGGGGGGCGCCACUAGGACUCAGGGUAGGUCCAUACUUACCCGCCGGGUCAACGCAGAGAUCUCGACAAAGCGAACGGCGGUGGCAGAGUCGA